UACGUAGGGUGCAAGCGUUGUCCGGAAUUACUGGGCGUAAAGAGCGCGCAGGCGGUCGUUCAAGUCGAGUGUGAAAGCCCCCGGCUCAACUGGGGAGGGUCACUCGAUACUGAUCGACUUGAAGGCAGGAGAGGGAAGCGGAAUUCCCGGUGUAGUGGUGAAAUGCGUAGAUAUCGGGAGGAACACCAGUGGCGAAGGCGGCUUCCUGGACCGACACUGACGCUGAGGCGCGAAAGCUAGGGGAGCAAACGGG
rnacentral:rRNA from 1 species